rnacentral:lncRNA from 1 species
AGAACCUCCCCCGAUCCUGCGUGUCCCGUGCUCCUCUCCGAGACCCCGGUCGCCCCAGCGUCCGCAGCAGUCCUGGAAAAAUGUUUAUUUGUGUAGCAAAGCAGGGAGCGGGGCGGCGGGGCUACUUCUUCUUUUUCUUGGCCGCCUUGAGCUUCCCCUCGAUUAGCCGCUGCGCCUGCCUCUUGAUCUCGGCGCGCGAAGGGACGUAGCUGUGGUCCAUGUCGGGGAACUGGAAGGUGUCUGCGGGCGGAGGCGGCGGCUCGCACACGGGGCUAGCCCAGCUAGGCGCAGCCGCCCGACCCGCCUCUCGCCCCCGCCCUCCACCGACCCGGGCCAGGUGCCUUGCCCCAGGGACAGCCCCAGCGUGCCGGGAGGACUCAGCCCAGCCCAUUCGCAGCGGCUCACGCUGCCCUGCCUAGCCUUUCCCGCAGAACCCCCAGUGGAAGCUCCGGCCCAGGCCUUCACCGCGCUCCUCCCUGCUCCAGCCCUGGUGCCUCUCCUCCGGGCCCGUCUGGCAUGGCAUGCCUCCUCCUUUCGGAGAAAUUAACAAGAGUCGAGGACUCCAGGGUGUCCCUCACCUUUGUGUCGCCCUGCAGGGCAAAGCCCCCUUCAGCCGUGCAGACACUCUGAACGGGAGCCUGUCAGCUUUGAGGGGACGUGGGCUGUGCAGGUUCCUCCCAGCCCGGGGCUACCUCCUCGGUCCUGGACACCAUCUGCACUCUGUCAGCCAGCAUGUCUGUCAUUUUCUUCUCAACGGACUUGAAGCUGCAGAAGGCAAUAGGGACACAGCAGUGAGGGGCACAGGCCCGAGAGCCAUGGUGGGCCACCCAGGAGCCCAGUCCUGAGUUGGGUGCUGUGCCAGAAUCAGGGACUCAGAAGCUCAGGUGUGUGCAAGUGGAGUCCCCUGGCCCCUCUGUGGGACACACAGGCUUGUUGGCAGUGGGUAUACUCCCAGCU